CAGCAGCCACGGGAAUACGUAGGGUGCAAGCGUUGCUCGGAAUCACUGGGCGUAAGGGGUGCGUAGGCGGGUCUUUAAGUCAGGGGUGAAAUCCUGGAGCUCAACUCCAGAACUGCCUUUGAUACUGAAGAUCUUGAGUUCGGGAGAGGUGAGUGGAACUGCGAGUGUAGAGGUGAAAUUCGUAGAUAUUCGCAAGAACACCAGUGGCGAAGGCGGCUCACUGGCCCGAUACUGACGCUGAGGCACGAAAGCCAGGGGAGCGAACGGGAUUAGAGACCCCUGUAGUCCCUGUCUCUUAUAC
rnacentral:rRNA from 1 species